rnacentral:misc_RNA from 1 species
GAUGAAGACGCAGCGAAAUGCGAUACGUAAUGUGAAUUGCAGAAUUCAGUGAAUCAUCGAGUCUUUGAACGCACAUUGCGCCCCCUGGUAUUCCGGGGGGCAUGCCUGUCCGAGCGUCAUUGCUGCCCUCAAGCACGGCUUGUGUGUUGGGCCUCCGUCCUCCUCCCGGGGGACGGGCCCGAAAGGCAGCGGCGGCACCGCGUCCGGUCCUCGAGCGUAUGGGGCUUCGUCACCCGCUCUUGUAGGCCCGGCCGGCGCUUGCCGACACAUCAAUCUUUUUUCCAGGUUGACCUCGGAUCAGGUAGGGAUGCCCGCUGAACUUAAGCAUAUCAAUAAGCGGAGGA